GUAGGAAGAACCAACUGCAAUUGCUGACUGAGUAGAGUCUGAACUGCUAUUUGCUUCCCUCUUUGGUGAGGUUUGCCCAUAUGCGAUCUUCUGGGGUGUUUAUGUCUAU